GGGGAGAUACCAAAGCGGCCAACUGGGGCAGACUGUAAAUCUGUUGUCUUUCGACUUCGCAGGUUCGAAUCCUGCUCUCCCCA
rnacentral:tRNA from 1 species